AUUGAACGCUGGCGGCAGGCCUAACACAUGCAAGUCGAGCGAGCGGCGGACGGGUGAGUAAUGUCUGGGAAUCUGCCCGAUGGAGGGGGAUAACUACUGGAAACGGUAGCUAAUACCGCAUACUAUCAGAUGAGCCCAUAUGGGAUUAGCUAGUAGGUGGGGUAAUGGCUCACCUAGGCGCCGAUCCCUAGCUGGUCUGAGAGGAUGAUCAGCCACACGGGGACUGAGACACGGCCCAGACUCCUACGGGAGGCAGCAGUGGGGAAUAUUGCACAAUGGGCGCAAGCCUGAUGCAGCCAUGCCGCGUGUAUGAAGAAGGCCCUAGGGUUGUAAAGCACUUUCAGCGGGGAGGCGUUACCCACAGAAGAAGCACCGGCUAACUCCGUGCCAGCAGCCGCGGUAAUUC
rnacentral:rRNA from 1 species